GAUCGUUUUCCUGGUCUUUGAGACAAGGAUGACGCAAAAUUUGAUAAGAAAUCAAAGCUAUCUGAAGUGGAGGAUAUUGGACUGUCUUCAUUUUUAGAGAUUUCAUUUGGAACAGCCUUGGAAGAAGCCAUAGCUGCAAUGGAUCAUAGGCGUGCUGGUAUUUCUAUGAAAUUCUGGUGGAGAGGUCAAUGGACCGCAAUUGUCAUUAAACAAAGGUGAUCCCGAUUCUUCUGAAGUUAAAGGUGGUGUCUCCAGUACGGAUUUCUGCUCUCCAGAUAUUAGUGAAUGAUGGCGCUGAGAUUUCCACCAUUUGCAAGGACCUUUAGAAAAUAUUACGUAUAGAAUCAAUGAAUGAACAAAGCGUUGUUAACGACUCACAACAUACAGAAUUAUUCAUGUACAUCCAUCAAUGUUCAACAUACAGGAUUAUUACUCGCACUUGAAAUCAUUCCGCAUUCUUAAAGGAUCAUGCACAUGACACAUUUUUAUUGGAGAUAAAUAAAUCUUCAGGCACCGCGCCAUCAUAAAUCUAUAUGGAUUCUUAGAAUCAUUCUCUCAUUCGUUGUCGAUAUUCUAAAUCUUUAAACACUCGAUAUCUUUCUCUCGAUUGUCAAUUAUUCGCUCUAUACUCAUUCUACACUUAUCCAUUUAUAUUAAAAAAAAAAACUCUUGUCUAUUUAAUUAUCAAUUCUUCUCUUAAAUAAAAAUAAAAAUAAUUACCGAA